rnacentral:lncRNA from 1 species
UAAGGAGAACUGUGAUAACAGACAAACUUUUAUUUUCUGUAAUGUAGGGAUGUCAUUUUUGUUAGGAGAAUAUCAUCCAUAUACAAAAUAAGAAAUAUUAUCACAGAAUUAUUAAUCCACUUGUAUAUAUAGGGUUCUUCUCUAUUCUUAAUGAAACCAUACAUUCUGAUCACUUUAUUAAAAUGCAUGUUCUAACUCUGAG